GUGGUAGCUGAGUCGGGUAAGCGCCCGCUUCUCACGCCAGAGGUGCUGGUUCGAUUCCCGACUCUGAUAUG
rnacentral:tRNA from 1 species